rnacentral:rRNA from 1 species
AAGACCUUGCACUUUUGGAGCGGCCGAUGUCUGAUUAGCUAGUUGGUGGGGUAAUGGCCUACCAAAGCUUCGAUCAGUAGCUGGUCUGAGAGGACGGCCAGCCACACUGGGACUGAGACACGGCCCAGACUCCCACGGGAGGCAGCAGUGGGGAAUUUUGGACAAUGGGCGCAAGCCUGAUCCAGCCAUGCCGCGUGAGUGAAGAAGGCCUUCGGGUUGUAAAGCUCUUUCAGCCGGGAAGAAAAGGUUGCGACUAAUAAUCGCAAUUCAUGACGGUACCGAAAGAAGAAGCACCGGCUAACUACGUGCCAGCAGCCGCGGUAAUACGUAGGGUGCGAGCGUUAAUCGGAAUUACUGGGCGUAAAGGGUGCGCAGGCGGUUUUGUAAGUCAGAUGUGAAAUCCCCGGGCUUAACCUGGGAACU